AGAACGCUGAUGUGAACAUUCAUGUAUAAGUUUUUAUGUGGACAUAUCUUUUCACUUCUCAUGGGUCUACAUAGGAGUGGAAUUGCUGGGUCAUAUAGUAAUUCUACAUUCAACCUUUUGAGAAUCUGCCAGACCAUUUUCCAUAGUGUCUGCACCAUUUUAUAUUCCCACCAGCAGUGUCUGAGGGUCCUGACAUCUCCAUGUCCUUGCCAAUAUUUUAUGUUAUCUGUGGUUUUGGUUAUUAUCAUCCUCAUGGAUGCAAAGUGAUAACUCAUUGAUUUGCAUUUCACUGAUACUUUAUGAUACUGGCAUCUCAUCAUGUACUUAGUGGAUAUUUGUAUUUCUUCUUUGGAGGAAUACCUAUUCAAAUCCUUUGUCCAAUGUUAAAUUGGGUUAUGUCUUUCCACUAUUGAUUUGUAAGAGUUCUUUAUAUAUACUAAGUACAACUUCCUUGUAAUAUGUAUUAUUUGUAAUUUUUUUCCUAUUUUGUGGGUUGUCUUUUCACUUUCUCAAUGACGUUUUUUAAAAACAAAAGCUUUCAGUUUCGGUUAAAUCCAGAGUAUCCAUCUUUUCCUUGUUGUGGCUGGUGCUUUUGGUAUCAUGUUCUAAGAAACCAUUGUAUAAUAAUAGGGUCACAAAAUUUUAUAUCUAUGUCUUUACCCUUUCUUCUAAUGAGAGUUUUUGUGACAUUCAGCCUUUUUCACCCAUUUUGAGUUCUUUUUUUAUACAUGCACACCUUGGAAAUAUUGCCGUUCAAUUCCAGAUCUCCACAACAGAGUGAAUAUCUCAAUAAAUCUAGU
rnacentral:lncRNA from 1 species